rnacentral:rRNA from 1 species
GACGAACGCUGGCGGCGUGCCUAAUACAUGCAAGUAGAACGCUGAAGGGGGAGCUUGCUCUUCUGGAUGAGUUGCGAACGGGUGAGUAACGCGUAGGUAACCUGCCUGGUAGCGGGGGAUAACUAUUGGAAACGAUAGCUAAUACCGCAUAACAGUAGAUGUUGCAUGACAUUUACUUAAAAGGUGCAAUUGCAUCACUACCAGAUGGACCUGCGUUGUAUUAGCUAGUUGGUGGGGUAACGGCUCACCAAGGCGACGAUACAUAGCCGACCUGAGAGGGUGAUCGGCCACACUGGGACUGAGACACGGCCCAGACUCCUACGGGAGGCAGCAGUAGGGAAUCUUCGGCAAUGGACGGAAGUCUGACCGAGCAACGCCGCGUGAGUGAAGAAGGUUUUCGGAUCGUAAAGCUCUGUUGUAAGAGAAGAACGAGUGUGAGAGUGGAAAGUUCACACUGUGACGGUAUCUUACCAGAAAGGGACGGCUAACUACGUG